AUUGAACGCUGGCGGCAGGCUUAACACAUGCAAGUCGAGCGGAGACUUCGGUCUUAGCGGCGAACGGGUGAGGAAUGCCUGGGAAUCUGCCUGUUAGUGGGGGAUAACGAAUCGAAAGGUUCGCUAAUACCGCAUACGUCCUACGGGAGAAAGCAGGGGACCUUCGGGCCUUGCGCUAACAGAUGAGCCCAGGUCGGGAUUAGCUAGUAGGUGGGGUAAAGGGACUCACCUAGGCGACGAUCCGUAGCUGGUCUGAGAGGAUGAUCAGCCACACUGGAACGUGAGACACGGUCCAGACUCCUACGGGAGGC
rnacentral:rRNA from 1 species